UUUGUCCUCCCUAAUAAAACAGAGUAAUCAAACCAUUUAAAUAUCAGUCCUACCACCCAAAUUCUCCCUGACCUGCCCCCUUUUGAAAUAUUGUCUGAAUUAUGUUACUGGGAAUACUCUGUGCUAAUGGAUUUCUUUCUGCUGUUAACAGGUUUUGGAUUCAGGGACACGGAAAGAAUAUAAUCCUCUAUAUAAUUUGCUGCGAAAUAGAAACGCCUAUUUUACAAGAUGGUGCAACAACUGGGCGAGGUGGAGGCUGCUGCCCUCACCAAAAGGGCAAAAUAGGUGUACUUCAAAAGGAGAUAGCAAAAUAUUACUCACAGUGAUGAUGUGGUUAUGAAUGUUUCCAGUGGACAGCCCUCAGCCUUCACAAUUUUUGAGUCAACACUGUGAUUCUACCAUGAGUUCAUGUCUAUUCCAAAGGCUUUUUCCCAAUAGGUUUUGCACUGCAUAAACUAUAUUCUACUUGUUUUACACCAGCAACAAAUAUUUACACAUUACAAAAUGUGAGUUCUCCACCUUCACUAAAUGAUUUCAAGCUCUUGAAAAAGGAUUUAUUAUGUUUACUUAAAUGUUAUAUUACUUUCUUUCUUAUCCAUAUCAGAGGUGCAGGCCACCAACAAUAGCCGUUUCCCAGGUUUUGUGUCUUGAGAGACUCCAGAGCCAAACUCAUUUUCUAAGAUUUGAGACAAAGUUGUCAUAGGUGUUUUUGUUUUUCACUGUUUCCAGAAUUACAUAUUACUUUCCAGGUAUAUCAGGGAUUCUGUUUACUUGAAGACUGUGUGAAGUUGCUGUUUUGUGUCACCACUUCCUUUAACAUGACUAGGAUCCAUUUUUCCACCAAAAGACCUCUGGUUAAAAUACUAUAGAGAAAACUGAUAGGAAAAUGUACAAUAUACUAUAAUUUAAGUGAAAGAAAGUGAAAGUGAAGUCCUCAGUUGUGUCUGACUCUUUGCGACCCUGUGGACUAUAGCCCACCAGGCUCCUCUGUCCAUGGGAUUCUCCAGGCAAGAAUACUGGAGUGGGUUGCCAUGACCUCCUCCAGGGAAUCUUCCCAACCCAGGGAUCGAACCCAGGUCUCGUGCAUUGCAGGCAGAGGCUUUACCCUCUGAGCCACCAGGGAAGCCCUGGUAUAAGCCUAGUUUAAGUAACAACAACAACAACAAAUACUGAAGGACAAUAUUAUAUGUUCUAAAAGAGAAGGAAGAGAAAAUAUGCUUUCUCAAAAUAGGAGCCCUUCUAAGGGAUUUGCUAAUGAAGGACAGACAUGUGCUAGACUGUCUUCUAGAUAGAGGAUUUUAGGUUUUUUGUUUUUUGUUUUUUUUUACAUUACAAAUGGUGGUAAAGUAUAUAUAACAUAAAAUUUACCAUAUAACCAUUUUUAGUCACAUAAUCCAGUGGCAUUAAUCACAUUCACAGUGUUGUGUAGCUGCAUUGUCUGGGUAACUUUUGGUAAUUAUGUUUUUUCCUAUUCAGUGUGUUAUUUCGCAGAGUCAUUUUGAUAAGUUAUUUCCUGUGAGUUUUUCUUGAUUGGCAUAAAUUUAUUCACAUAAAGAUAAAAAUUUAUUUAUCUUAUAUGUUUCAUAUCUGCAGCACCUCUAACUGUGUUCUUUUGGCUUUCUAAUUUUCUUUUAACCUUCUUUUUAUAAAUAAUCUUGCAUAACUUUUUCCUGUUUUCAAAGAAUCAACUUUCUGCUUGAUUGAUGCUCUCUUUUUUCCCCAGUUCAUCAUAUCAUUCUUUCCUUCAACUUUUCCUUAACUUUGAGGUUUUUCCUCUAAAUUCUUAAUUUGAAAAGAGAUUAUUAACAUCAUUAUUUUUCUAAUAUAAAUAAAGCUGACUUUUCCCCUAAGAUCCA
rnacentral:lncRNA from 1 species